CCAGCACAGAGACCCGCCAGGACCACCUGGGCUCAGGUUAUGUGUGAGUUCUGGGACAGAGAGAAGACAGUCUCGAUGAUGGAAGCAGUAUCAUUUGAAGGGGACAACGACAUGUCCUAUGAGAACA